CUGCACAGAUUUAAAUAGUGGUGCCUUUAACAACAGUGCAUAGAUGCAAAGCCGUUCAGGCGGCAGCGGCCAGACAACCGUGGGGAUGGAUCCACAGAUGACUGAUCUUUGAUGCCAGUUAUCUACUAAUUCUAUCGCAUAUUC